GUGCAAGUAUUCCCCAAGAAGAAUGUUCAUUUUGUCAAAGACAGCACUAUUUGCCACCCUUGUGGGAAUUUCAUAGUACUUACUUAUACUGAAAUCAAGAAAAAGACUAUACUCCAGUGUAUGAAUGGAAUUGUGGGCAUCCUGGCAACUAGUGUUCCUUAUGAAGUUGUGGCUUUUUCUGACAGCAGCUCUGAUCCGUCAUCUACAUAUACAACUUCCUCUGAAAUGACCAGAAAGAUCAAAUUAAAAGGCAAUGUUCUCCUGGACUAUACUUUCCUUCAGUUACUGUGGCAUCUACCUGGCUAGCCACUCCUCCCUCCCAGAAUUUUAACUGGCCCUCUGGUCCUUCCUUAUUGGCUCUCACCACACAUACCCAUACACCAUUGACUUACUCCCAGGGAAUCAUUGAUGUGCUUAUUCACAUCCUGGGUUAGUUUGCAUUUUCAAGAAUUACACAUACAUUAUAUACUCUUUUUGGGGGGAUCUGGCUUCUUCCAUGCAGCACAAUUAUUUUA